UACUGGUCAUCAUCUUCUUUCGCUCUCAAAGUAUUUCAGCUGUGCUAAAAGGGGAUGCCAUGCUGUGGAGUUGUGGAGUUGACAAAAGCUCUGGUUUGGUCUCCACCAACUCCCGAGAAAGAUGUCCAAAGACUACUGUAGCUGUUAGAUGGUCGGCUUUCUUCAGGAGCAAUAGUGUCUUUGUCUACUGUUUGGUCCUGGACAGAUCCUGGAGGAACAGGAAGUGUGUUUCCUACCUUCAAUUCUAUGCAGAGCGGGGCCAGAACUCUUCUAGUGUGCGAUUUCCUCGUCAUUUUCCUCUGGAGGGCAAAAUCAGAGAGAGAGAGAAGAAAGUAAGAAAAUAUCUGAUGUACUUCGUAAUGAUGUCAAUGGGUUUCAGAUCUUUGACAUAAUACAUCAAGUAAAACAAAGUUUGAGUCUAAUUUCAUAAUUCCCUUACAUUUGUGACAUUUCUAACAAAAUAGUAUUAUAACAAAAAUGUUAAU